CUCUCGGUCGUCUAGUUGGUUUAUGACGUCAGACUGUAAUUGAAUGUUGUGAUCUGGAUGUCGCGUGUUCGACUCACGCCUGAGAGA
rnacentral:tRNA from 1 species